rnacentral:rRNA from 1 species
AAAGCACUUUCAGUAGGGAGGAAGGUAGUGUAGUUAACACCUGCACUAUUUGACGUUACCUACAGAAGAAGCACCGGCUAACUCCGUGCCAGCAGCCGCGGUAAUACGGAGGGUGCGAGCGUUAAUCGGAAUUACUGGGCGUAAAGCGCAUGCAGGCGGCCUGUUAAGUCAGAUGUGAAAGCCCGGGGCUUUAACCUCGGAAGUUGCAUUUGAAACUGGUAGGCUAGAGUCUUGUAGAGGGGGUAGAAUUUCAGGUGUAGCGGUGAAAAUGCGUAGAGAUCUGAAGGAAUACCGGUGGCGAAGGCGGCCCCCUGGACAGAUACUGACACUCAGAUGCGAAAGCGUGGGGAGCAAACAGGAUUAGAUACCCUGGUAG